UGGUAUACCUCUCAAAAUGGUCUGAUUUUCCUGCUCGCUCGUACGCUCGCCAGGCUAGUUGCGAAUUUUCGCUCGCGGUUUCGCAGCCAAAGUGGCUCCCGGUGCGCACCGGAUCCUGAAGAAAAAGGUAGCCCGUGCGAAUCGAGACACAGUCGGGUCUUGUUGUUUUAUAUCGGUUGCCGGUUCCGGGUGUUUGUGUGCAGUCAGUAAGGAAUUUCGUUUUCGGUUUCCUUGAUACAGUGCAAUUUUGAGUCCUGCUGGAAAACUUGGCUCCAGGCGAAAGUUUCCUCGUGUACGUGUGUAUGUGGGGGUGUAUAAAAAAGAGAGCAGAAGGGAGAGCCAGGAUAGAUCAAAGCCCUUUCGGUCAAUCCGUGGAUAGAAUCGUUGCGCAACCUGUACUAAACCGAAUCUAGUCAUACGUACAACGACAUAGUUAAGCAAAAAGUGUGAUAUUCAAAUGACCAUGACAUUUGAACAUUUUAUCGAGUAAAGAAAAUACAAACAAAACAGAUCCCACGGUCGGACACUCUCUGCGAGAACGCAUCUACCCCCUCAUUGACCAAUCUAGUCGGGACCGCGCACAGUUGUUCAUCUAGAGCACUUCUUUCGUCUUCACCAUUCUUCAAACCUAAUGCUGCUCAUCAAACAUUUGACAUCGUACCGUAACGGACACUACCGGCAGCAAUCAAUCGCUUCUCAGCGUCUACGCGUUCUAGCUUUUAUCGGCUAACAGCCAUCGCCAGUCAACACCGGCAGUAGCCCUUCGCGCGUCCUCCCUCGUUUCGGGUCGGGGUAGUUGAAGCCGACCAGCAGCAUCCGCACGCCGCUGGUGGUGGUUGAGGUAGUUGAGGAGAACCCCGACCACAACUCGGGCGAAUCCUGACACUCAACUGUCGCCAAAUCAUCGAUCUCAGCAAGACCACCCGACCCGUUUUUGAGCGCACGGACAAGCUGAACGGCUCCAAAAUUACGGACAACACGAUGGAGGACCUGCUGCAGGCUGGCCACGUGGUCAAGGAGCGGUGGAAGGUUCUGAAAAAAAUAGGCGGCGGUGGUUUCGGUGAGAUCUAUGAGGGCCAAGAUUUGAUCACGCGGGAACAGGUCGCCCUCAAGGUGGAAUCCGCUCGCCAGCCCAAGCAGGUGCUGAAAAUGGAGGUGGCCGUACUCAAGAAGCUGCAGGGCAAAGAGCAUAUCUGUCGCUUCAUCGGGUGCGGCCGAAACGAUCGCUUCAACUACGUGGUGAUGCAGCUGCAGGGCAAAAAUUUGGCCGAACUGCGACGAUCUCAGGCCCGCGGGGCUUUCUCGCUCAGCACCACGCUGAGGAUCGGCCUCCAGAUACUCAGAUCGAUCGAGUCAAUCCACUCGGUCGGGUUUCUUCAUCGUGAUAUUAAGCCAAGCAACUUUGCCAUUGGAAGGUUACCGUGCAAUAAUCGUAAAAUUUACAUGUUGGAUUUUGGUUUAGCUAGACAGUAUACAACCGGCACCGGCGAGGUACGAUGUCCCAGGGCUGCCGCCGGUUUCCGUGGUACUGUGAGAUAUGCUUCGUUGAACGCGCACAAAAAUCGAGAAAUGGGUCGACAGGACGAUCUGUGGUCUUUGUUCUAUAUGCUUGUUGAGUUUGUUACUGGCCAGCUUCCGUGGCGUAAAAUUAAGGAUAAGGAGCAAGUUGGAUUAUUAAAGGAAAAAUACGAUCAUCGUUUGCUACUCAAGCACUUGCCUUCAGAUUUCAAGUACUUCUUAGAUCACAUUCAAUCGCUUAACUACGCUGAUAAGCCGGACUAUGCAAUGUUAGUGACCCUAUUCGAGCGCUGUAUGAAGCGACGUGGCGUAAAGGAGACGGACCCAUUCGACUGGGAGAAGACGGAGGAGAACACCGCCGACCAUGCCGGCGGAGAAGCCAAAGUAGUAAACGCAGCCGUACCAAAGAGUGAAUUAGAGAAACGAAAAGCGAUUCCAGACUCGGUGAAGGUAAUGCACACCGAACCGAUUGAGUCCAUCAAGCCGCAAAAUGCACUGACAAAUGCUAAACCGCCGAGUGCGGCCAACCCGGGCCAAGCAAACAAUGAGAAGUUCACUGGGGAUCCGCUGGAUCCACGACUGCAGCAAGCUUUCAAGGAUGCUCUGAUCGUCAGCCAGGAGGCACCUAAAGCGAAGCCGGAGAUCCCACUCGUCCGGGCCCACACGGAUGUGAACAAACCGUCGAAACACGGUGGCAGCCGGUUGCGAAUCCUGACGGCACCACCGGUGAACAUCAAAGAUUUUGCGUCCUCGAUCGAUAGUUUGCAUCAGCACUCGCAGGCGAACGACAUCAAUCUGUCGGAGGCGAAAGCGAAAUUGAAGACGGAAGCGGACGAGGUCAGCUGUACGCCAGUCGACAACCAGACCGGAACCGGAACCGGCGGAAGGGGAGCCGACAGUGCACCACUGCAGAGCUCCCUGACCAAUCGGCAAUCGUUGCAUUUGGGAGGCAAAAGCUUACGCUCGUUCGCCACCCAAUCGGCCAAGUACAGGAGCGUGGCGGAUGACAAGAGCUGUCGGGACUUUUCCAUCACACAGCACGCCAUCAUUGACGACGACAAUGCCAGUCAGCAUCAGACCCCCAAGUACCAGGGGGCCCUCACGUUGGCCUCCCAGUGGAAGAGCCAGUUUGACGACUCGGACGAUUCCACCGAUGGGCUGUGGAAAGGCGAGCAACAUUCCGAAACCGCUUCGAAGAAGAAUAUCAAGGAGCAGCAACACAAGCAAAAUAACAACAACACAUCGACGAGUGCUAUUGUUAAUAAUACCACUACUAAUAACGCUAAUACCACUACAAACAACCCCGCAGACCUUGCAAAUAAUCUCAACUCCUAAUUUAUUGAUUAAAAUAUGAAAAAUAAAAAGAGGCAAAAGCGUAUAAAGCAGUAUAAAGCAGGCCGCACCGUUGCCGUGGGUUUCGCGUGUGAUUUCAUAACGCCAGUGAUGUAUCACAUUGUUUGGAGCUAUAUUUGAUAGUCAGAUGCCGUAGCAUUACGACACACAACGCGUGCGUGGGGUACUCAAGUGAAAUUACCAGCGUGAUAAUAUCACCCGUUCGACGUUGAAUGUUUCCUGUUUGGUCAAAUCGAGGCUACUCCAGAUUGUAUAUGGGCUGAAAAAUGGGAUGAGGAUCUAAGCACCGUCUGCGGGUACACACAACAACGGCUACUACCGAACAGCCAUAUGCAAAAUAGACCACCACCGAACGGAAAUGGCUUCCUGGGGUUUCGUGGAUCCUCUCCAGUGCGAUCUCAGCUGAUCUCCGCCCACUGUAUUUCCUGCUUCGGUGUGAAAUGCCUGCGCUGUUUUUCACAUCUCACAACCUCGCGUUCGAUCCUCGAGAUGAUCACACAAAAUAUAUGUUGUUCGAUGAUCCGCACCACCGAAAAAAAACACACAAAUCGAUCAUAUAGGUAAGCCACACGAAUUAUUGUGGUGCCACAAGCGGAGCACAAGUACCGAAAACGCAGCAAGCGGAACGAGUGAAGCGAACGCGACUGCGAACGACGAACUGCACGAGAGAGCUCCAAAGGCACGCCACGGACUGCCGUGAGCCCUGCGCUAAGAUGGCGCUCCCUACCUGAAAUGCGCACGGUAAGACCGAACAACUCGCGAGGGUGAGCGCCACACCUAUACAACAACAAUGUACGGCUCACCCGCGCGGGUCCGCGUUUGUAUUCGUAGCAGACUUAACGGUAACAACAUCAACCCAUCACAUCCAUCCGUCCGUUCGAGCUGCGAGAGCUGCGACUUGCGAGGGAGAGAGCAAACUAAACAUAAGGCAACAACUGAAACAUAAAAAUUAGCGGGGGAAAGCAUUGCAUUUAUGAUGACCGCCGCCGAAUCCAGGAUGUGUGUGGGUCAUAAAAGUCCGUUGGUGAAA